CGGUCGCUGACUGGAGACUCAGGCGAGUCCUAAGCAACUGACAAGGCCCAACGGUUAAAACCGCCUCUGUCCUGCGCGUUCACCCAAUGCACCCGCCUACUCUCUAUCUCAAUCCGGGCGUCGCCUCCCUUUGCCAGGCAACGAGAGCGCGCGCAGCAAAGAGAAGGCGGGAAGGAUGGAUGAGGAAAUCGAGGUUCGGAGAGACGGAGUGACUGGCUGAGAUCUCACAGCUGACAAGAGAAAAUGCAGUGAAUGGCUUAAAUAGAAUUUCAGCUUUGGGGGCUCACGAGUGAGAGGCUUCUUCCUUGAUUACCCUGGGAAGGAAGAAAUCUUCAUUUUUGGUUUGCAAGACCAUGAAAACAAGACAGAAGAAGAAAAUUUAAAAGAAAGAUCUUUGUCACUUUGGGUAAGCAGGGAGUUCUUGGACAUAAGACCAACACCAAAGGACAAACUGAUAAGGUAUUUUAAGUAGCAAACACAGCUCUGAGUGCAGAAAAUGAAAGAGUUAUUGCCUUGAAUUAUACUUCUGAUGGUGUGAAGAGUAGCCUUUUCCCCCCUCAUCGUACUUACUGUGACCUCUGUGGUUCCUGUGAUUUUUUUUUCCUUUCUAUGAACCAGAAAUACAUGAUCAGAACAAUUUAUGGCUGGGCACGCCUGUAAUCCCAGCCCUCUGGGAGGCUGAGGUGGAUGGAUCACCUGAGGUCAGGAGUUCGAGACCAGCCUGGCCAACAUGGCAAAACCCUGUCUCUACUAAAAAUACAAAAA